UACGGAGGGGGCAAGCGUUGUUCGGAAUCACUGGGUGUAAAGGGUGCGUAGGCGGUCCGCUAAGUCUGAUGUGAAAGCCCUGGGCUCAACUCAGGAAUUGCAUUGGAAACUGACGGGCUGGAGUACGGGAGAGGGAAGCGGAAUUCCUGGUGUAGCGGUGAAAUGCGUAGAUACCAGGAGGAACACCGGUGGCGAAGGCGGUUUCCUGGCCCAGUACUGACGCUGAGGCACGAAAGCGUGGGGAGCGAACGGG
rnacentral:rRNA from 1 species